UGAGGAAUAUUGGUCAAUGGACGCAAGUCUGAACCAGCCAAGUAGCGUGCAGGAUGACGGCCCUAUGGGUUGUAAACUGCUUUUAUGUGGGGAUAAAGUGGGGAACGUGUUCCCUUUUGCAGGUACCAUAUGAAUAAGGACCGGCUAAUUCCGUGCCAGCAGCCGCGGUAAUACGGAAGGUUCGGGCGUUAUCCGGAUUUAUUGGGUUUAAAGGGAGCGUAGGCCGUUUGGUAAGCGUGUUGUGAAAUGUAGGAGCUCAACUUCUAGAUUGCAGCGCGAACUGUCAGACUUGAGUGCGCACAACGUAGGCGGAAUUCAUGGUGUAGCGGUGAAAUGCUUAGAUAUCAUGAAGAACUCCGAUUGCGAAGGCAGCUUACGGGAGCGCAACUGACGCUGAAGCUCGAAGGUGCGGGUAUCGAACAGG
rnacentral:rRNA from 1 species